rnacentral:tRNA from 1 species
AGAAAUUUAGGCUAACUUAAACCAAAAGCCUUCAAAGCUUUAAACAAAGGUUAAAAUCCUUUAAUUUCUG